rnacentral:rRNA from 1 species
GAUGAACGCUGGCGGCGUGCCUAAUACAUGCAAGUCGAGCGAACAGACGAGGAGCUUGCUCCUCUGACGUUAGCGGCGGACGGGUGAGUAACACGUGGAUAACCUACCUAUAAGACUGGGAUAACUUCGGGAAACCGGAGCUAAUACCGGAUAAUAUAUUGAACCGCAUGGUUCAAUAGUGAAAGACGGUUUUGCUGUCACUUAUAGAUGGAUCCGCGCCGCAUUAGCUAGUUGGUAAGGUAACGGCUUACCAAGGCAACGAUGCGUAGCCGACCUGAGAGGGGGAUCGGCCACAUGGGAACUGAGACACGGUCCAGACGCCUACGGGAGGCAGCAGUAGGGAAUCUUCCGCAAUGGGCGAAAGCCUGACGGAGCAACGCCGCGUGAGUGAUGAAGGUCUUGGGAUCGUAAAACUCUGUUAUUAGGGAAGAACAAAUGUGUAAGUAACUAUGCACGUCUUGACGGUACCUAAUCAGAAAGCCACGGCUAACUACGUG